AACAUAACAACAUUGAUUGGGUAAGAGGUGGUGUUGAUGGGAUAGAGAUUGACAUGGGCUGAUAUUUCGAAUUUCUCCAGUAGAAGAUAAAUCUCCUCUACCUCAGCCAGGUCACACAGGAGCUUACAAGAAUAAUGGUUACCUUAUGAUUUCGUGCAAAAGAGGGGUAAAUCAAAUGAGGCCUGCGGUGAGUGGCUUACUUAAGAUAAAUGUCAAUUUAGUGGUGUGUAUUGGAGUAUUUUGAUUAGAAUAACCAUUGUGAGUAAUAUAUAGCUAACAGUUUCUUAUUGGCGAUAUAUUCCUCUUGCUAAGGAGGCUAUUGCUUAUCAAUUGAUUCCUUAGUUGUGAUAUGAAAUAUUAUAUCUGAACUAGGUACAUGACGGAAACAUGGUUGGUGCUUUUCUAUUGUGUCUCAGUUUCAAAUUUUAGUCAACCUACUUCUUAGUUAGUAAGGUAUGCAACUGGUAUGUCAAUUUCUUGUCAUCUGACCAUCUGCUCUAUAUGUGUACAAUGGGAUAUUCUUUUAAAUGGAGAGCUUGUUCAAGGAAUGACAUAUGGCAAAUGGUCGUGAUCCAGGAAGCUGACACAAUUUGCUUAAGGGGAAAAAUAGUAGCUUUAUGUCCUUAUUUUCUCUAUUGUUGAACGCAUUGUUUUCAUUUUGAUAAUUCAUACUUUC